rnacentral:rRNA from 1 species
CCUACGGGAGGCAGCAGUGAGGAAUAUUGGUCAAUGGGAGAGAGCCUGAACCAGCCAAGCCGCGUGAGGGAAGACGGCCCUAUGGGUUGUAAACCUCUUUUGUCGGAGAACAAAACCCGGGACGUGUCCCGGACUGCGUGUAUCCGAAGAAAAAGCAUCGGCUAACUCCGUGCCAGCAGCCGCGGUAAUACGGAGGAUGCGAGCGUUAUCCGGAUUUAUUGGGUUUAACGGGUGCGUGGGCGGUCCGUUAAGUCAGAGGUAAAAUUGCGGGGCUAAACCCCGUAGAGCCGUUGAAACUGGCAGACUUGAGUUGGCGAGAGGUACGCGGAAUGCGCGGUGUAGCGGUGAAAUGCAUAGAUAUCGCGCAGAACUCCGAUUGCGAAGGCAGCGUACCGGCGCCAGACUGACGCUGAGGCACGAAAGCGUGGGGAUCGAACAGGAUUAGAUACCCUAGUAGUC